rnacentral:rRNA from 1 species
UACGUAGGGUGCAAGCGUUGUCCGGAAUUAUUGGGCGUAAAGAGCUCGUAGGCGGUGUGUCGCGUCUGCCGUGAAAACCUGAGGCUUAACCGUGGGCGUGCGGUGGAUACGGGCACACUUGAGUUCGGUAGGGGAGACUGGAAUUCCUGGUGUAGCGGUGGAAUGCGCAGAUAUCAGGAGGAACACCGAUGGCGAAGGCAGGUCUCUGGGCCACUACUGACGCUGAGAAGCGAAAGCAUGGGGAGCGAACAGGAUUAGAUA